AUUCUGCCCAUGCGGGGAAGGAUGAGAAGCUUCGACCAAGGUUCGACUCGAGCGCCAGCGAGAGAGCGUUGCCGCAGGCAACGACCCGUAGGGCGAAGC
rnacentral:sRNA from 1 species